rnacentral:rRNA from 1 species
CCUACGGGGGGCAGCAGUAGGGAAUAUUGCUCAAUGGGGGAAACCCUGAAGCAGCAACGCCGCGUGGAGGAUGAAGGUUUUCGGAGUGUAAACUCCUUUUGUUAGAGAAGAGAAUGACGGUAGCUAACGAAUAAGGACCGGCUAACGCCGUGCCAGCAGCCGCGGUAAGACGGAGGGUGCAAGCGUUACUCGGAAUCACUGGGCGUAAAGAGCGCGUAGGCGGGAUAGCAAGUCAGAUGUGAAAUCCUAGGGCUUAACCAUAGAACUGCAUUUGAAACUGUUAUUCUAGAGUAUGGGAGAGGUAGGUGGAAUUCUUGGUGUAGGGGUCAACUCCUU